rnacentral:rRNA from 1 species
GAUAAGGUUAAGUUAAUAAGGGCGCACGGUGGAUGCCUUGGCACUAGAAGCCGAAGAAGGACGUGACUAACGACGAAAUGCUUUGGGGAGCUGUAAGUAAGCGCUGAUCCAGAGAUGUCCGAAUGGGGGAACCCACUAGCUACUGGCUAGUAUCCAUAACUGUUAAGGUUAUGAGAAGGAAGACGCAGUGAACUGAAACAUCUAAGUAGCUGCAGGAAGAGAAAGCAAACGCGAUUGCCUUAGUAGCGGCGAGCGAAACGGCAGGAGGGCAAACCGAGAAGUUUACUUCUCGGGGUUGUAGGACUGCGACGUGGGACUUUAAAAGGAUAGAAGAAUUACCUGGGAAGGUAAGCCAAAGAGAGUAAUAGCCUCGUAUUUAAAAUUCUUUUGAGCCCUAGCAGUAUCCUGAGUACGGCGAGACACGCGAAAUCUCGUCGGAAUCUGGGAGGACCAUCUCCCAACCCUAAAUACUCUCUAGUGACCGAUAGUGAACCAGUACCGUGAGGGAAAGGUGAAAAGCACCCCGGGAGGGGAGUGAAAUAGAACCUGAAACCGUGUGCCUACAACAAGUUCGAGCCCGUUAAUGGGUGAGAGCGUGCCUUUUGUAGAAUGAACCGGCGAGUUACGAUAUGAUGCGAGGUUAAGUUGAAGAGACGGAGCCGCAGGGAAACCGAGUCUUAAUAGGGCGACUUAGUAUCAUGUUGUAGACCCGAAACCAUGUGACCUACCCAUGAGCAGGUU